UCGAGAAUCUUUCACAAUGGGGGAAACCCUGAUGGAGCGACGCCGCGUGGAGGACGAAGGCCUUCGGGUUGUAAACUCCUGUCACUGGGGACCAAUACCGGCGGGUCGAAAGGCCCGAUCGGGGCGAUGGUACCCGGAGAGGAAGAGACGGCUAACUCUGUGCCAGCAGCCGCGGUAAUACAGAGGUCUCAAGCGUUGUUCGGAAUUAUUGGGCGUAAAGAGCGUGUAGGCGGCUGAAUAAGUCAGAUGUGAAAUCCCUGGGCUUAACCCAGGAAGUGCAUUUGAAACUAUUCAGCUUGAGUAGGGGAGAGGAAAGUGGAAUUCCUGGUGUAGAGGUGAAAUUCGUAGAUAUCAGGAGGAACACCGGUGGCGAAGGCGACUUUCUGGCCCUAUACUGACGCUGAGACGCGAGAGCGUGGGUAGCAAACA
rnacentral:rRNA from 1 species